CGGAAUAACUUUAUAAGCUUCUCGUUUUCGAACCGAACUCUCUAUCCUCCCAUCCGAUUCUAACGACUCUUGCCAACCAUUAGAGCAGCCGCAACCAUGGCCGAAAAACAACCAAAGGGAAAGGGAAUUGUCGAGAUGGCCGUAGGCUACAGUUAAUAUGAGUGUGCUUUCCUUACCUCUCUCUAUCUUAUCUCUGUUUUCUUUGUUUAGCACAAUUCUGUGACUAAGCGAUUGGAGUAUUUCAUCAUUAUUCAAUCGAAAUGGUUUCCACAAGCAAGACAUGAAUACAGCAACAAUGCAACACUGCAAGGAUGCUAUCUCUUCCAAUUCAAUUCCUGAUUUCCGAAGAGGAUCAAUUGGGCGAUGCUUUGCAUUGAAUUAGGCAAGUUAUAGGCCUUGUAUGUGGGUUGCUGUGGGGUGCUGCCCCUUUCGUUGGAGCUAUAUGGAUUGUCAUGGGCUCGGGUGAAGGAUCCAACUUGUCCAUUGUCAUCCAGAUUUUUGGGAAGUCUACAAAUAACUGGUGAGUUUCUAGACCUCUGCAUUGCUAUAUUUGUGUUGGUUCCAAGUUUUUGUUCAUCCCUUAAUCAUCGUGGGAUUGACAAGGAUGUUCCAACUGUGUUUAGUAUAAAACCUGAAAAAAUUUUGGGUGCUACCUAGGUUGACUGCAACCCCCUGCUAGCAGCCAAACAAAUGGAAUAAUCCCUUCCCCCUAGGUUUACAAAUAUCUUUUUAGAUUUUAGUUUUUUUUUCAAAUUUCCCUUUAAGAUUCCUUGAAAUUAUCUGCUUACAAGGUUUGGAUGCUUUAGACUAACAUUUGUUUUUCCUUUUCUAAUGUAAUACUUGCAUGUUGCAAGUUGCAAUUGACCAAUGGUCAUGGUUUCAAAGAUUAGGAAGCAGAUUGAUGAAUUGGUGUUUUAGAUUGGCAAUGGUAGUCACCGAUCCAAGUCUGAAUGCUUCGUAUUGAUAAUCACUAGAACGGAUUCAUUCCGUUUUAGUGAAAUAUGAAGAAAUUACAAGAGGACUUCAGCCUUUGACUAUGAUAUUUGUAGAUAGUUUAUUCGAUUAUUGUUUUCUUUCAAGUUGAUUUUUGAGAAGAGGUGAGCUUGCAAAGAGCCAUGUAAACUAAACAAACUCUGCAUGUUAAUACACUUAGUUGAUUAUAUAAUAGUUACAAGAUUAAUUUGAAAUAUCCAUCCUUACCUUCCUUAAUACAAUAAACUUGUGACUAUAUGACUUAGUUAGGCCAAUUUUGGAUCUAUAUCAAGAUGAUAUUUAUAUUCAAAUAUUCAUAUAUUCUUUAAUGUUUAUCUAUUUUCAUGUUUUUCAUAUUGGCCUGCCCUUACUUGUAUCAAUUUUUAUUUAAACUAUCAAUAGUCAUCAUCUCUCUCUCUCUCUCUCUCUCUCUCUCUCUAUGGAAGACCACACAUGCAUUUGCACAUGCAUGUUGUAUAUAUAAGGAUAAUAUUCUAUCCAAGAGCAACCCCUGUGCCACAGGCACAGGAGUUGUGCAAUGACCAUUGUGCCCCUCUUGGGAAUGCACACCUUGUGUUUGAGUGCAAGAGGACAGAAAAUACUUAUCCAUAUAUAUAUAUAUAUAUAUACACUAUUAAAUCUAGAUUGAUUCUUGCAAGCAUGGACUCUAUAGACUGAUCCAUACUCAAAAUUAGGUGACAUUUCUAUCUCAUGAGAGGAAGGGCUUGCCUUUAUGUCAUCAGAUUGGAAUCUACAAAGACAUUAAGGCCCAUCAAUAUAAAUUCUAGAACAUCAUGGUGAAAAAGAGCACAGGGGAAAUGGUUUCUGUGGGGAAUGUGCCCCCUCCCCAAUGGAAUACAAAAUGGCUCCCAAGUUGAUGGUUCCUCACGCACUCCUAUUGUUCCAUGCACCCACGGAAGAACCACACUUCCUCACAAGAAACAUUUUCCUAAGAAUAUAACACUUCAUGAGUCAUGUCAAGAUACAUUUGUUUUCUAUGAAAAAUAUUGUAUUUUCAUAACAAAAGUCUAUUGGGGAUGAGCUACGCACUUGAGCUCUCGAGUAAGUCCAAGGAAAGUCCCUAGUUACUUUAUUGUAAAAAUAACAGUAGUAAUUAUAAUUUGAAAAUAAGUGUGAUCCAAUGGACCUCCUUUGCUGGCCCCUCAUAAAUCCCUUGUUUGGCACCCUAGUGGUCCCUAUAUGCAGCCUAGUGGAUCUGGCCUUUAUUGACCGUUGAAUUGAAUUAGCA